rnacentral:rRNA from 1 species
GACGGAGGAUGCAAGUGUUAUCCGGAAUUACUGGGCGUAAAGCGCGUGUAGGCGGCUAAGUAAGUCGGGCGUGAAAUCCCACGGCUCAACCGUGGAAGUGCACUCGAAACUGCAUAGCUAGAGUCCUGGAGAGGAAGGUGGAAUGCUUGGUGUAGAGGUGAAAUUCGUAGAUAUCAAGCGGAACACCGGUGGCGAAGGCGGCCUUACUGGGACGAGUGACUGACGCUGAGACGCGAAAAGCGUGGGGAGCAAACAGG